rnacentral:tRNA from 1 species
GGGCCUGUGGUCUAGUGGCAUGACGCUCGCUUCACAGGCGAGAGAACGCAGGUUCGAAUCCUGCCAGGCCCA